rnacentral:tRNA from 1 species
GCCCCUGUGGCUCAGUGGUAGAGCGUUACCUUGGUAAGGUAGAGGUCGCGAGUUCAAUUUUGUAAAAGUUUUGCUUUUGCUUUGAAAGUCUCGCCAGGGGCU